CAUGAGUGAGGCAGCUAGGAAUCUACUCAGGUUUCUUCCACGGGCAAAACAGAUUUUCCUUGUUCCCCGAUGCCAGGCAUUACCAGAAAUGUUUACUAGCGGUGCCUCUGAGGUCGCCAGCUGUUCUCACCUCUGCCUUCAGAACAAACGGACGUGGUGUUAGGUGCUUCACGGGGUCCAACAAUAAGGGUUUGCUCUGUGGCUGUGGGACUUCGGUUUGCACUUACACAGACGUACCUGUAAUCGACAGCCCUGCUCACGUUUAUGGAGAACAACCCAGCGUGAUGUACCCUGAGUAAGGCUGCAGAGGUGGCUUCAGAGCUGAGGAAACCAACUAGUCGGAAUAAAUCGAAGCUGAUAUGUGCCUUGAGGUGAAAGGAUGGGUCUGCACCCUUCAGUUUCUCUUGGCUUUUGGUCCUUGGUGUCAUGGGGAAGACUUUGGCCACUCCUACCACGCUGGCAUUCACAGGCAAAGUGAAAAUGGAUACAGCGAUGAAAUCGAAACCUCUUUGCGGCAAGCAGAAACAACACUUGCAAGGC